AUUGAACGCUGGCGGCAGGCCUAACACAUGCAAGUCGAGCGGAUGAAGGGAGCUUGCUCCUUGAUUCAGCGGCGGACGGGUGGGUAAUGCCUAGGAAUCUGCCUGGUAGUGGGGGAUAACGUUCCGAAAGGAACGCUAAUACCGCAUACGUCCUACGGGAGAAAGCAGGGGACCUUCGGGCCUUGCGCUAUCAGAUGAGCCUAGGUCGGAUUAGCUAGUUGGUGAGGUAAUGGCUCACCAAGGCGACGAUCCGUAACUGGUCUGAGAGGAUGAUCAGUCACACUGGAACGGAGACACGGUCCAGACUCCUACGGGAGGCAGCAGUGGGGAAUAUUGGACAAUGGGCGAAAGCCUGAUCCAGCCAUGCCGCGUGUGUGAAGAAGGUCUUCGGAUUGUAAAGCACUUUAAGUUGGGAGGAAGGGCAGUAAGUUAAUACCUUGCUGUUUUGACGUUACCAACAGAAUAAGCACCGGCUAACUUCGUGCCAGCCGCCGCGGUAAGAC
rnacentral:rRNA from 1 species